rnacentral:rRNA from 1 species
CUCUUCAGUAGCGUAUAUUAAAGUUGUUGCAGUUAAAAAGCUCGUAGUCGCAUUUCUGGCGAGAGGAUCCGGUCCGACCUUUUGGUGGGUUCUUGGGUCUCUUUCGCCAUCCUUGAGUGGUCCGUUCUGGCAUUAGGUUGUCGGAGCGUCAGCCGCUCAUCGUUUACUGUGAGAAAAUUAGAGUGUUCAAAGCAGGCUUAUGCCGUUGAAUAUAUUAGCAUGGAAUAAUAAGAUAGGACCUCGGUACUAUUUUGUUGGUUUGCGCACCAAGGUAAUGAUGAACAGGGACAGUUGGGGGUAUUUGUAUUUCGUUGUCAGAGGUGAAAUUCUUAGAUUUACGAAAGACAAACUACUGCGAAAGCAUUUACCAAGGAUGUUUUCA